rnacentral:rRNA from 1 species
CCUACGGGAGGCAGCAGUGGGGAAUCUUGCGCAAUGGGCGAAAGCCUGACGCAGCGACGCCGCGUGGGGGAUGAAGGCCCUCGGGUUGUAAACCCCUUUCGGCAGGGACGAAGCGAUCGUGACGGUACCUGCAGAAGAAGCCUCGGCUAACUACGUGCCAGCAGCCGCGGUAAGACGUAGGAGGCGAGCGUUGUCCGGAUUCAUUGGGCGUAAAGAGCACGCAGGCGGUUUGGCAAGUCGGAUGUGAAAACCCGAAGCUCAACUUCGGGCGUGCAUCCGAAACUGCCCGACUAGAGGUAGGUAGGGGAGAUCGGAAUUCCUGGUGUAGCGGUGAAAUGCGCAGAUAUCAGGAGGAACACCGGUGGCGAAGGCGGAUCUCUGGGCCUUACCUGACGCUCAGGUGCGAAAGCUAGGGGAGCGAACAGGAUUAGAUACCCCAG